rnacentral:rRNA from 1 species
CCUACGGGUGGCAGCAGUGGGGAAUAUUGGACAAUGGGGGGAACCCUGAUCCAGCCAUGCCGCGUGUGUGAAGAAGGCCCUCGGGUUGUAAAGCACUUUCAGUGAGGAAGAACGCCUGGUGGUUAAUACCCAUCAGGAAAGACAUCACUCACAGAAGAAGCACCGGCUAACUCCGUGCCAGCAGCCGCGGUAAUACGGAGGGUGCGAGCGUUAAUCGGAAUUACUGGGCGUAAAGCGCGCGUAGGUGGCUUGAUAAGCCGGUUGUGAAAGCCCCGGGCUCAACCUGGGAACGGCAUCCGGAACUGUCAAGCUAGAGUGCAGGAGAGGAAGGUAGAAUUCCCGGUGUAGCGGUGAAAUGCGUAUAGAUCGGGAGGAAUACCAGUGGCGAAGGCGGCCUUCUGGACUGACACUGACACUGAGGUGCGAAAGCGUGGGUAGCAAACAGGAUUAGAUACCCUUGUAGUC